rnacentral:lncRNA from 10 species
UUUUUGAAAUUCCAAAAGCUCUGGAUGCAAACCCCAAAGCCUCUCUGAAGCCGGCUUCUUCCAUGGCAGGACCUGCAAAUGCUGGACUCACAGAAGGCUCUGAGAAGUAAAUAACAGAUGGAGUUUUACUUUUGCUGCCCAGGCUGGAGUACGAUGGUGCGAUCUCAGCUCACUGCAACCUCCGCCUCCUGGAUUCAAGCGAUUCUCCUGCCUCAGCCUCCCGAGUAGUUGGGGCCUGGCUAAUAUAUAUAUAUAUUUUUUAGUAGAGACGGGGUUUCUCCAUGUUGGUCAGGGUGGUCUCAAACUCUGACCUCAGGUGAUCCACCCGCCUCGGCCUCCCAAAGUGCUGGGAUUACAGGCAUGAGCCACCACAGCCGGCCCAAAUAUUACAUUUAAAAGCAAAAAUAAAAACAAACCCACGAGUGCCCAAGCUUCUCUUCUUGCAGUUGCUGCUCACCAUCCU